rnacentral:rRNA from 1 species
CUAGCUUGCUAGAAGAUGACGAGUGGCGGACGGGUGAGUAAUACUUAGGAAUAUGCCUUUGUGUGGGGGAUAACUAUUGGAAACGAUAGCUAAUACCGCAUAAUGUCUUCGGACCAAAGGGGGCUUCGGCUCCCGCGCAAAGAGUAGCCUAAGCGAGAUUAGCUUGUUGGUGAGGUAAAAGCUCACCAAGGCGACGAUCUCUAGCUGUUCUGAGAGGAAGAUCAGCCACACUGGAACUGAGACACGGUCCAGACUCCUACGGGAGGCAGCAGUGGGGAAUAUUGCACAAUGGGGGAAACCCUGAUGCAGCCAUGCCGCGUGUGUGAAGAAGGCCUUCGGGUUGUAAAGCACUUUCAGUUGUGAGGAAAGGUUAACGGUUAAUACCCGUUAGCUGUGACGUUAGCAACAGAAGAAGGACCGGCUAACUCCGUGCCAGCAGCCGCGGUAAUACGGAGGGUCCGAGCGUUAAUCGGAAUUACUGGGCGUAAAGCGCACGCAGGCGGUUUGUUAAGCUAGAUGUGAAAGCCCUGGGCUCAACCUGGGAAUUGCAUUUAGAACUGGCAGGCUAGAGUUUUGGAGAGGGGAGUGGAAUUCCAGGUGUAGCGGUGAAAUGCGUAGAUAUCUGGAGGAACAUCAGUGGCGAAGGCGACUCCCUGGUCAGUAACUGACGCUCAUGUGCGAAAGUGUGGGUAGCGAACAGGAUUAGAUACCCUGGUAGUCCACACCGUA